rnacentral:lncRNA from 1 species
GUUCUCAAUAAUGGCUAAAAAAUGCCAAAUUUCUAAUGCCCGUUUCAAUCCCGACUUCCGAAUGUCUAAAAACAUUCUAGAACUUCACAAAAUCCCACUUCCGGCCUCCAUUGCUUUGUGUACAUUCCAUUCAGCGUCAUCAAUCUUGUGGCAGGCAAUACAGGUCAAGCAAAUCGUAUUUUUAGGAAUUUUAAAAUGACAUGCUCCUUACGUCUUUCGCGAUUUUCCCGCGAAAAAAGCCCAACCAAAAUGAAAGGAAAACUAAUUGAAAAAACAAUGCCCAUGCC